UACAGAGGUCCCGAGCGUUGUUCGGAUUCACUGGGCGUAAAGGGUGCGUAGGUGGCCUGAAAAGUUUGAUGUGAAAGCUCAGGGCUUAACCCUGAAAUGGCAUUGAAUACUGUCGGGCUGGAGGUUUGGAGGGGGGACUGGAAUUCUUGGUGUAGCAGUGAAAUGCGUAGAUAUCAGGAGGAACACCGGUGGCGAAGGCGGGUCUCUGGGCCGAUACUGACGCUGAGGAGCGAAAGCGUGGGGAGCGAACAGG
rnacentral:rRNA from 1 species